CGACAAACGCAAGUACGAGUGUCGACACAGAAAAUGUGAUACGCCUGCCACUGUUGCAAUAGUCGGUGUUACAGUAGCACUCCGUACUUCCACCGGAAGUGGUACAAGACCUGCUGUAGAAGAUGAGGAAGGAUCUAUCGCAAGAUCGGACCGUGCAUCCAGACUCUGUAUUGAGAGAGAGGUUCAGAUUACACGCCGAACUUCCAGAACACACGUAGCAGAUGACAGACGCUGCCCCACCAUUCGCUAAGAAGAUCAAUAAAGGGUUAUUCAACGUUUUUAAUUUGUUAAAAAAAUAAUUUAAAAAACGUAUGUAGUUUAGCGAGAAAAGUCAGUUUAUCUUAGGAAAUACAAUUGCUUCAAAUGAAAGUAUGAAUACAAAACAAAAUAAAAAACAGUCACACGUGCACAAGAUCAGUAUUUAUCUGAGUGUAUGUUGUGCAAAACGUCGUUCGAAUGAAGCAAGCGUAACAACAUUUACAACAGGAACAGUUAGCAAGUAUCAUGUUUAGUUGUGAGUAAAAAAUUAUAUACCAGCAAAACAAAUUGUUUCUAAAUUAUGUUACGCAAAAAUACACACUGUUAUUUAUUCGCAAGUAUAUGAUUAUUGUUUUUUUUAAUAACAUCAUACAUCAACAUAUUAAAACAAACUAAAAGUUAUAAAAAUGCAAUUACCGCUCAAAAGCAGCGCCGUGACAAAGAAUGCAAGUCCAAACCGUUUCAUUGUCAAACGAUCCCUAACACGCUUUGGUUAGAUACAGGUUUAUACACCCUGGCGUUAUGAUUUCACAAGAGAUACAGCAAAGUCUUCGUUCGCUCACCUGUGCAAUACAUUUUAAUAAAACCUGCAACGAAAGAAUUGCAGAAAAGACUUAUACGAUAUCAAGAGUGUUUUAUCGAAGAACCAGAGACCCAUGACCCACAGUCAAAUGCAACAUUUGCCCAGUUACACUGGGACCGCCUGUUGCAACGGGAAAUUCAAUGCAUCUGGUUCGGGUAAAGUUUCUUCCAAGAAUAUUUUGCUUCAGUCGAUUAUAAGUGUUUAUUUGAAUCGUAUUGCUAUUUUAAAGUUUGUUAAUCUGUACAAAAUAGUAUUUAUUGUGUGUAUGGCAUAUUUAAUUUUCCAUCAACUCGUGUUAUGUUUCACAUCAAGAUUUUAAACAAUACAUUACAAUACGAAAAUGUUUAAGUUAACCAAGGUAAAUAUUAACCAAUAUUCCUCGUUUAUGACAAUAUGAAAAUUUAAGAAAUCGGGGCCUAUAAUUAAACCCUGUUAAGGGUCAAACUGGUUAAUGUGACCCCUAACAUUUAUUAAGUUUUUUGUUUGUUUAUUAAACCGCGUCAAUUAA